UACGUAGGUGGGAAGCGUUGUCCGGAUUUACUGGGCGUAAAGGGCGUGCAGGCGGUUUGUUAAGUGCAGGGUGAAAGCUCCCGGCUCAACUGGGAGAGGUCCUUGCAUACUGGCGAACUCGAGGGAGGCAGAGGAAAGUGGAAUUCCCGGUGUAGUGGUGAUAUGCGUAGAUAUCGGGAGGAACACCUGUGGCGAAGGCGGCUUUCUGGGCCUUACCUGACGCUGAGACGCGAAAGCGUGGGGAGCAAACAGG
rnacentral:rRNA from 1 species